rnacentral:rRNA from 1 species
GAUGAACGCUCGCUACAGGCUUAACACAUGCAAGUCGAGGGGAAACGGCAUCGAAAGCUUGCUUUUGAUGGGCGUCGACCGGCGCACGGGUGAGUAACGCGUAUCCAACCUGCCCAUCACUUGGGAAUAACCUUGCGAAAGUAAGACUAAUGCCCAAUGACAUCCCACGAAGGCAUCCGAAUGGGAUUAAAGAUUUAUCGGUGAUGGAUGGGGAUGCGUCUGAUUAGCUUGUUGGCGGGGUGACGGCCCACCAAGGCAACGAUCAGUAGGGGUUCUGAGAGGAAGGUCCCCCACAUUGGACUGAGACACGGUCCAAACUCCUACGGGAGGCAGCAGUGAGGAAUAUUGGUCAAUGGGCGAGAGCCUGAACCAGCCAAGUAGCGUGCAGGAUGACGGCCCUAUGGGUUGUAAACUGCUUUUAUAAGGGAAUAAAGUGGGUCACGUGUGACUUUUUGCAUGUACCUUAUGAAUAAGAACCGGCUAAUUCCGUG